rnacentral:rRNA from 1 species
AGUGCCCCGCCUGGGGAGUACGAUCGCAAGAGUGAAACUCAAAGGAAUUGACGGGGCCCCGCACAAGCAGCGGAGCAUGCGGCUUAAUUCGACGCAACGCGAAGAACCUUACCAAGGCUUGACAUAUACAGGAAUAUGGCAGAGAUGUCAUAGCCGCAAGGUCUGUAUACAGGUGGUGCAUGGUUGUCGUCAGCUCGUGUCGUGAGAUGUUGGGUUAAGUCCCGCAACGAGCGCAACCCUCGUUCUGUGUUGCCAGCAUUUAGUUGGGGACUCACAGGAGACUGCCGGGGUUAACUCGGAGGAAGGUGGGGAUGACGUCAAAUCAUCAUGCCCCUUAUGUCUUGGGCUGCACGCAUGCUACAAUGGCUGGUACAAACGGCUGCAAUACCGCAAGGUGGAGCGAAUCCGAGAAAGCCAGUCUCAGUUCGGAUUGGGGUCUGCAACUCGACCCCAUGAAGUCGGAGUUGCUAGUAAUCGUAGAUCAGCAACGCUACGGUGAUACGUUCCCGGGGCUUGUACACACCGCCCGUCACGUCACGAAAGUCGGUAACACCCGAAGUCAGUGCCCUACCGCAAGGAGG